UACGAAGGGGGCUAGCGUUGCUCGGAAUUACUGGGCGUAAAGCGCACGUAGGCGGUUUCUUAAGUCGGGGGUGAAAUCCUGGAGCUCAACUCCAGAACUGCCUUUGAUACUGGAGAGCUUGAGUCCGGGAGAGGUGAGUGGAACUCCGAGUGUAGAGGUGAAAUUCGUAGAUAUUCGGAAGAACACCAGUGGCGAAGGCGGCUCACUGGCCCGGUACUGACGCUGAUGUGCGAAAGCGUGGGGAGCAAACAGG
rnacentral:rRNA from 1 species